UACAGAGGUCCCGAGCGUUGUUCGGAAUUACUGGGCGUAAAGGGCGCGUAGGCGGCGGUGCAAGUUGUUGGUCAAAGGCCAGGGCUCAACCCUGGAAUGCUGACAAGACUGCAUUGCUAGAGGAUUGCAGGGGGAAUCGGAAUUCUCGGUGUAGCAGUGAAAUGCGUAGAUAUGUGGAGGAACACCGAUGGCGAAGGCAGCCUCCUGGGCCAAUACUGACGCUCAUGCACGAAAGCGUGGGGAGCAAACAGG
rnacentral:rRNA from 1 species